CUGACUUACUACAGGGUGUAGUGCUUUCCUAGUGACCUGACUGACUUACUACAGGCUGUAGUACGUUCCUAGUGACCAGUGUGACUUACUACAGGUGAAAUUUUGACAAUAACUCACAUACUGUACGUGCUAUUGUAAAAUAUGUUUAUGAAAAAUUAACUGUAAAUGACCGUAACUAUUUUUCCACGUUCCAAAGGCUGUAGUACUUUCCUA